AGGUAAGCUACUAAGAGCGAAUGGUGGAUGCCUUGACUGGUAAAGGCGAUGAAGGACGUACUAGACUGCGAUAAGCUACGGGGAGCUGUCAAGAAGCUUUGAUCCGUAGAUUUCCGAAUGGGGCAACCCAAUGUAUAGAGAUAUACAUUACCUAUAUAGGAGCGAACGAGGGGAAUUGAAACAUCUUAGUACCCUCAGGAAAAGAAAUCAAUAGAGAUUGCGUCAGUAGCGGCGAGCGAAAGCGCAAGAGGGCAAACCCAGUGCUUGCACUGGGGGUUGUAGGACUGCAAUGUGCAAGAGGUAAGUUUAGCAGAACAUUCUGGAAAGUAUAGCCAUAGAGGGUGAUAGUCCCGUAUGCGAAAAACAAACCUUAGCUAGCAGUAUCCUGAGUAGGGCGGGACACGAGGAAUCCUGUCUGAAUCUGGGUCGACCACGAUCCAACCCUAAAUACUAAUACCAGAUCGAUAGUGCACAAGUACCGUGAGGGAAAGGUGAAAAGAACUGAGGUGAUCAGAGUGAAAUAGAACCUGAAACCAUUUGCUUACAAUCAUUCAGAGCCCUAUGUAGCAAUACAGGGUGAUGGACUGCCUUUUGCAUAAUGAGCCUGCGAGUUGUGGUGUCUGGCAAGGUUAAGCAAACGCGAAGCCGUAGCGAAAGCGAGUCUGAAUAGGGCGCUUAGUCAGAUGCUGCAGACCCGAAACGAAGUGAUCUAUCCAUGAGCAAGUUGAAGCUAGUGUAAGAACUAGUGGAGGACUGAACCCAUAGGCGUUGAAAAGCCCCGGGAUGACUUGUGGAUAGGGGUGAAAGGCCAAUCAAACUUCGUGAUAGCUGGUUCUCUCCGAAAUAUAUUUAGGUAUAGCGUUGUGUCGUAAUAUAAGGGGGUAGAGCACUGAAUGGGCUAGGGCAUACACCAAUGUACCAAACCCUAUCAAACUCCGAAUACCUUAUAUGUAAUCACAGCAGUCAGGCGGCGAGUGAUAAAAUCCGUCGUCAAGAGGGAAACAACCCAGACUACCAGCUAAGGUCCCUAAAUCUUACUUAAGUGGAAAACGAUGUGAAGUUACUUAAACAACCAGGAGGUUGGCUUAGAAGCAGCCAUCCUUUAAAGAAAGCGUAAUAGCUCACUGGUCUAGUGAUUUUGCGCGGAAAAUAUAACGGGGCUAAAGUAAGUACCGAAGCUGUAGACUUGCACACAACUUAGAUUAUUUAAGUUUAGAAUAU
rnacentral:rRNA from 1 species